UACGUAGGGUGCGAGCGUUGUCCGGAAUUAUUGAGCGUAAAGAGCUCGUAGGCGGCUUGUCGCGUCGGAUGUGAAAGCCCGGGGCUUAACUCCGGGUCUGCAUUCGAUACGGGCAGGCUAGAGUUCGGUAGGGGAGAUCGGAAUUCCUGGUGUAGCGGUGAAAUGCGCAGAUAUCAGGAGGAACACCGGUGGCGAAGGCGGAUCUCUGGGCCGAUACUGACGCUGAGGAGCGAAAGCGUGGGGAGCGAACAGG
rnacentral:rRNA from 1 species